rnacentral:rRNA from 1 species
UACGUAGGGUCCGAGCGUUGUCCGGAAUUAUUGGGCGUAAAGGGCUCGUAGGCGGUCUGUUGCGUCGGGAGUGAAAACUCAGGGCUUAACCCUGAGCCUGCUUCCGAUACGGGCAGACUAGAGGUAUGCAGGGGAGAACGGAAUUCCUGGUGUAGCGGUGAAAUGCGCAGAUAUCAGGAGGAACACCGGUGGCGAAGGCGGUUCUCUGGGAAUGUACUGACGCUGAGGAGCGAAAGUGUGGGGAGCGAACAGG